rnacentral:rRNA from 1 species
AUUGAACGCUGGCGGCAUGCUUUACACAUGCAAGUCGAACGGCAGCGCGGGGCAACCUGGCGGCGAGUGGCGAACGGGUGAGUAAUAUAUCGGAACGUACCCAAGAGUGGGGGAUAACGUAGCGAAAGUUACGCUAAUACCGCAUACGAUCUUAGGAUGAAAGCAGGGGACCGCAAGGCCUUGUGCUCCUGGAGCGGCCGAUAUCUGAUUAGCUAGUUGGUGAGGUAAAGGCUCACCAAGGCGACGAUCAGUAGCUGGUCUGAGAGGACGACCAGCCACACUGGGACUGAGACACGGCCCAGACUCCUACGGGAGGCAGCAGUGGGGAAUUUUGGACAAUGGGCGCAAGCCUGAUCCAGCAAUGCCGCGUGAGUGAAGAAGGCCUUCGGGUUGUAAAGCUCUUUUGUCAGGGAAGAAACGGCUGAGGAUAAUACCUUCGGCUAAUGACGGUACCUGAAGAAUAAGCACCGGCUAACUACGUGCCAGCCGCCGUAAAAC